rnacentral:rRNA from 1 species
CCUACGGGAGGCAGCAGUGAGGAAUAUUGGUCAAUGGGCGAGAGCCUGAACCAGCCAAGUAGCGUGAAGGAUGACUGCCCUAGGGGUUGUAAACUUCUUUUAUAGAGGAAUAAAGGGCGGUAUGUAUACUGUUUUGCAUGUACUUUAUGAAUAAGGAUCGGCUAACUCCGUGCCAGCAGCCGCGGUAAUACGGAGGAUCCGAGCGUUAUCCGGAUUUAUUGGGUUUAAAGGGAGCGUAGGUGGGUUGUUAAGUCAGUUGUGAAAGUUUGCGGCUCAACCGUAAAAUUGCAUUUGAUACUGGCAUUCUUGAGUACAGUAGAGGUAGGUGGAAUUCGUGGUGUAGCGGUGAAAUGCUUAGAUAUCACGAAGAACUCCGAUUGCGAAGGCAGCCUGCUAGACUGUAACUGACGCUGAUGCUCGAAAGUGUGGGUAUCAAACAGGAUUAGAUACCCGUGUAGUC